rnacentral:lncRNA from 10 species
CCACUGCGCCCUGCUAACAUAUCCUCUUUCUAAAAAGCUACAUAUAUUGCAAAGUAUUGGAAUAGGAAUAACAUAGCAGUUAGGUUGGGCGUUUGGGUUGAUUACAUAUCUUUGCUAUUAUCAGUACAAUUCUUAUCAAAAUCCCAGCUGGCUUCUUUCCAGAAAGUGACAAGCUAGUUCUAAAAUUAUAAUGCAAUUUAAGGCACCCUAAAUAGCAAAAUAAUCUUGUAAAAUAACAAAGUGGGAAGACUCAAAUGUCCCAAUUUCAAAACCCAAAUCAAAUCUACAGCAAUCACAGUGUGAUACUGGAAUGUGGACAGACAAAUAAAUCAAUAGAAUAGAAUUGACAACCCAGAAAUAAACCCUCACAUUUAUGGAAAAUUGAUUUUUGACAAGGGUGCUACAACAAUUCUACGUGGAAAUAAUGUUUUUUUUUUUUUAAAUGGUGCUGGAACAACUGAACAUCUAUGUGCAAAAUAAUGAAGGUGGACCCCCUACAUCUCACACGAUUAUAAGAAUUGAUGCAAAAUAUGUCAAAUACCUAAAUGUAAGAGCCAAAACGAUAAGACUCUUACACAAAAACAUGAGAGUAAAUCUCAUGACCUUAAAUUAGACAACAGUUUUUUCUUCUCCAAACUGGAUUUUUUUUCUUUUAAAACAAUUUUGUCUUUUGAAUUUAAUGAAGUAUUACUAGCUGAAGGCAGCCUGACAUGGUGACAAGAAUGUCAGACAGAUGAAAGGGACACAGCCUGAUUUAAAACCAAACACUGAACCUUUUUAAAGAAGAAUAAGACAUUUUAUACACACACAUGACACCAAAAGCACAAACAACCAAAGGAAAAAUAGAUACAUUAGAUUUUAUCAAAAUUAAAAACUUUUGUGCAUCAAAGGACACUGGCAAGAAAGUCACAGAACUCACAGGAUGAGAGAAAAUAUUGGCAAAUUAUCUGUUAAGGUCUAAUAUCCAGAGUAUCCAGAAGAUAUAGAGAAAUUCCUAUAAUUCAAUAAAAAGACAAAUCAAUUUUUUAAAUGGGCAGAGGAUGUGAAUAAAUAUUUCUUCAAAGAAGAUAUAUAAAUGGCUCAUAUACACAUAAAAAUGUUGAAUGUCUUAAAUCAUUAGGGAAAUGUCCAUCAAAAACUGCAGCGAGAUACUACUUUACACUCACUGGGAUGGCUAUGAGAAGAGACAGACAACGACAGUGUUGACAAAGACCAGGAGAAAUUGAAACCCUCAAACAUUGCAGAUGGAAGUGUAAAAUGGAGCAGCCACUGUGGAAAUCAGCCUGACAGGUCCUCAAAAAGUUAAACAUAAGAGUUGCCAUACGAUCUAGCAAUUCUGCUAGGGAUGCACCCUAGAAUUAAAAACAUGUCCACGCAAAAAGUAGUACAUGCAUGUCCAUAGCAGCAUUAUUCAUAAAAGCCAAAAUAAAGUAGAAACAACCACAUGUCCACUAAGUGAUGAAUGGAUGAACGGAUAUAGUGAUGGCUCCAUACAAUGGAAUAUCACUCAGCCUUGCAAAGGAAUGAUCCAUGCUGCAGCAUGGGAGGACCUUAGAAACAACAUGCUUCGUGAAAAGAAACUAGACACAAAAGGCCACAUACUGUAUGAUUCGUUUAUAUGAAAGAUCUAGAAUAGGCAAAUCCAUAGGGACUCAAAGUAGAUUAGUAGUUACCUGGGCCUGCGGGAAGACAGCACUGGGGAGUGAUGGCUAAUGGGUACCAUGUUUCUUUUUGGGAUGAUGAAAAUGUUCUGGGGUUAGAUAAUGGUGAUUGUUUGCUAUACAACCUUGAGAAUAUACUAACCACCACUGAAUUGUACACUUUAUAAUACUGCGUUGAUGGUAUGUGGAUCAAGUCUCAAUGUAACACAAAGAAGCAUGUUGUACUGUAUAGAACACCAGGUGCCAGAAGACCAAACAUGCUGGCAGAUGGAAAAAAGAGGAGUGAAGAUUCACUCUCCCUUGACCAAGAUCAGAGUGAGUCAGUGGCGAGGCUGGGAGCCACACAGCUUGUCCUGCCUUGUGAUCCCCCUCCUCUUCCUAUUCCAGAUGGUUUUUCAGUGCCAUUAACUUGUUUUGUAACACUAAUAUUCAAUAAGAUGAUGUUACAAAGAGAAAGAAUGUGAGUGCCACAUGACUGGUUAAGUAUGGAUUCUCAAACUAGGGCUUUAAAUAUCCUUCGUGAUUUUUUUUGGCAUGAAAACUUGUAAGACCACUGGUGGGCUCUGUACAAAGUCGGCUACCCCUUCAUUCUAUAUCUUCCUCUGCCCACUUUCCUCCCAGCUAUUAAAAAUGAAUGUAGGCUGGGCACAGCAUCUCAAGCCUGUAAUCUCAGCACUUUGGGAGGCCAAAGCAGAAGGAGAGCUUGAGCCCAGGAGUUUGAGACCAGCCUGGGUAACAAAGUGAGACCCUGUUUCUAUUUUUUUUUAAACACCAAAAAUAAUGACUGUAAGGCAGUAUGUAGCCAAACAACUUGGCAAAGUUUGUUAUCUUUCCUCCAAAAUUCUCUCACUCUCCAACCUUCCCUCUUUCUUGAUAGCUCAUCCAUAGCCUUGAGCUCAGCAUUACCUCUGAACUAGGAAGCUCUUCUCCAGCUGACAUUAGGAUCUUUGCAUUUGUCCCUAAUGAAAUCAAAAUAUAGGGCCAUUCGAUAUUAUCCUCUUUUCCUCCUGUUCUAAGGCAUUCUUUUCUUGACUAAGGUUGUGCCUGGGCCAUGGAGAGACUGAGUGGGAACUGGCUCAACGGCUCAAGUUUGAGGACUCUACAGCAACUCUUUUCCACAAACCAAAUGAUAUGAAUGUUUUUAUUUAUUUAUAUUUAUGUUUCCACUUUUUAAAAGUCUUUUUGUAGAGAUUGGGGUCUCACUUUGUUGCCCAGGCUGAACUUGAACUCCAGGGGCUCAAGCGAUCUGCCUGUCUUGGCCUCCUAAAGUGCUGGGAUUACAGGCAUGAGCCAGCGCGCCCAGCCUCGAGUGUUUUUAGAUUCACAGUAGAUGACCAUUUCCAUUUCUGGUUCAAGUCCUUCAUUUUAUACAUUAAACUAAGGUGCACUGACUCCCAGUCCAUCGCCUUUUUGGUAUCUUUAUGGAAGUAAAAUGUGGCAAGCUUUUUUUCAGCCUCAAAGACUGUCUCAGAGUAAAAGUUUAAGAAGUACUGCUCUAAAUAAUUUUAUUAAAUAUGCCUUAUUAGAUGAGGAAAACUGAAAUAUUUUUAUACAAGCCUUUUGCUGUAGAACAAUGGGACAGAAUAAAGGUAGCUCACAAAAUAAGGGAACAUUUCUUGCCUGUUUUUUUUUUUUCCCUCCAAAUUCUUCUGUACAGGUCCAGAUAGAUGAGCUAUGUUUCCUUUCUAUUAACUGAGGAGACAGAGAUGAAAGGACUGGAGCAUGUCAUCACUGUCUUAAAUGUACUGAAAUCCUAACAGCUCUAGCUGAAAAAAUGUCCAAAGCAGGCCGUGAAAAUAAAUUUAAAUGACAAACUCCAAAAUGAUCUAUGCUAGAAUCCCAAGGCUGUCAGGGAAAACUGGUUCCAUGGAAGAAGGUAGUCAAAGAAAUAAGCAGAUGACCUAGACCCUCACCCAAUAUGCGCGAUGUACUUGGGGAGAAAGUAACCUCUUUCCUUUAUUCACCUACAUAGGUUCGUGAGCCACACAUCUCCCCACACCAAGCUCCUCCAUACAAGACCUCGGACUGCAUCAUAGCUAUCAGCUUCCCAGUUUGCACAAUUCAUCAAGAAAUUAUGCGGGGUCACUGGCACAAAUGAUGAGGCAUCUCCUGGAAGCUUAACUUCUUAUCCAUCCCAUCUCUUGGACAGAUGAUGCCAGUUAAUUACUUUGAAUGCUCUGCUGCUAUGGUGAGCUGCACGUCUGGAGGCUUCACAGAGACACUGGGUGAAUCUAAAUGAUGAGUUUGAUGGUGACCUGGAGGUGAAACUGUGACUUCAUGAUGUUCUGGAGGCUGACCUGGGGUCUCCUGCUGGGUCAGAGAAGAUUCGACCUCCCUAGAAGACUCAGAAGGCUGAACUGGCUGCUGCUGCUCACUGAUGGAAAGUUCAUGCUCCAUAGGAGAAACUGGAGGCUCAAUUGGGGCCUCCUGUUGGGUUGCAGAAGGUUCCACCUCCUCUGGAAACUGAAUUGGGGUCUCCUGCUGGGCUUGGGAAGAUUCUGUCUCAUUGGUAGGCUCUGAAGUUAUGGUAACCUCCACAUCUGCAGGUUUAACUGUAAUGUUGGGCAAGUGAUAAUAAGCUUGAU